rnacentral:rRNA from 1 species
CCUACGGGUGGCAGCAGUGGGGAAUAUUGCACAAUGGGGGAAACCCUGAUGCAGCGACGCCGCGUGAGUGAAGAAGCGUUUCGGCGCGUAAAGCUCUGUCAGCGGGGAAGAAACACGGUUCGCGAGAGCCGCGGACGGUACCCGACCAAGAAGCACCGGCUAACGACGUGCCAGCAGCCGCGGUAAUACGUAGGGGGCAAGCGUUAUCCGGAUGUACUGGGUGUAAAGGGAGCGUAGACGGCAGCGCAAGUCUGGAGUGAAAACCCAUGGCUUAACCAUGGAACUGCUUUGGAAACUGUGCAGCUGGAGUGCAGGAGAGGUAAGCGGAAUUCCUAGUGUAGCGGUGAAAUGAGUAGAUAUUAGGAGGAACACCAGUGGCGAAGGCGGCUUACUGGACUGUAACUGACGUUGAGGCUCGAAAGCGUGGGGAGCAAACAGGAUUAGAUACCCGUGUAGUC